rnacentral:lncRNA from 1 species
CCAUCAUCCUGGAAGGAAGGACCUGCUCAUGGCUAAGAGAUGAGUCAAACUUGACCAUUCCUCUGCAGAGGAGGUGCCGAGUGCAGCCUGGGAGAGAAGAGGUGACAGCCUCAAGGCUGCUGGGCCAGUCCCCAAGGAAGCAGCAGGAACAUGCCCGGACCUUCCAUUUCGGGGCUGUUUCCUCUGUGUUACCUGCACACGGGGAAAGCACAGGUGUGUUCCACCACGCACAGCAUCCCCGGGGCACUGCUGCUCCCUCAUCCUCAUGCAGCCACCACCUGCACUGCAGCCUGUGUCCUGUCCACAUGCAGCUCCCUGUGAGGCCAGAGACAGCCACGUCAGCGCUGUGCCUGCCAAGGUGACAGGGACGCUUUCAGGGCUGUCCCCCAGGUGACAGCCUGGGCUCAGCCCCGUUACUCCCUCCUGGACCCCUUGUCGUGCCUGGCUGGAUUUCAGUGCUCUCCCUUGAGCAAGCACCUGUCUGCCAAUGCAGGGAGGAGGAGGAGCAUGUUUUUUCCAGUUAAGAGUGAACUGCUUUUCAAGUGGUCCCUCUGAAAGGGCUGGUGAGGAGAAGCAGGAAUCCAGAUGCGUUUCCCUGCUUUGUGGCUGCUGGCCCCGGCUCACACCCAGCAGGGAAGGCAGUCGGUGAUGAUUUGAUUUGAAUUGAAUUGAACUGCACUUUGGGGGGAAAACAAGAAGGUGGCAGGGGCACCGUCCAUGGAAAGGAGGGUGAUCCUGGGAAACCCAUCCCAGCCAGGAGCUGGAGGCUGUGGGUAGC